rnacentral:rRNA from 1 species
CCUACGGGGUGCAGCAGUGGGGAAUAUUGCACAAUGGGGGAAACCCUGAUGCAGCGACGCCGCGUGAGCGAUGAAGUAUUUCGGUAUGUAAAGCUCUAUCAGCAGGGAAGAAAAUGACGGUACCUGACUAAGAAGCCCCGGCUAACUACGUGCCAGCAGCCGCGGUAAUACGAAGGGUGCGAGCGUUGUUCGGAAUUACUGGGCGUAAAGGGAGUGUAGGCGGAUAUGUAAGAUAGCGGUGAAAUGCCGGGGCUCAACCCCGGAACUGCCAUUAUGACUAUGUAUCUAGAGUAAUGGAGAGGAUAGCGGAAUACCCAGUGUAGAGGUGAAAUUCGUAGAUAUUGGGUAGAACACCGGUGGCGAAGGCGGCUAUCUGGCCAUUUACUGACGCUGAGGCUCGAAAGCAUGGGGAUCAAACAGGAUUAGAUACCCGAGUAGUC